rnacentral:rRNA from 1 species
GACGAACGCUGGCGGCGUGCUUAACACAUGCAAGUCGAACGGAAAGGCCCUGCUUUUGUGGGGUGCUCGAGUGGCGAACGGGUGAGUAACACGUGAGUAACCUGCCCUUGACUUUGGGAUAACUUCAGGAAACUGGGGUUAAUACCGGAUAGGAGCUCCUGCUUCAUGGUGGGGGUUGGAAAGUUUCGGCGGUUGGGGAUGGACUCGCGGCUUAUCAGCUUGUUGGUGGGGUAGUGGCUUACCAAGGCUUUGACGGGUAGCCGGCCUGAGAGGGUGACCGGCCACAUUGGGACUGAGAUACGGCCCAGACUCCUACGGGAGGCAGCAGUGGGGAAUAUUGCACAAUGGGCGGAAGCCUGAUGCAGCAACGCCGCGUGCGGGAUGACGGCCUUCGGGUUGUAAACCGCUUUCGCCUGUGACGAAGCGUGAGUGACGGUAAUGGGUAAAGAAGCACCGGCUAACUACGUG